UUGUAGGUAAAAACAUCAGGUU
rnacentral:siRNA from 1 species